rnacentral:pre_miRNA from 1 species
UUAACUCAAAUUUGUAUGCAGUUGGAACGUUUGCCUACGUUUGCCGCUAGGGGCGCUGUUCCAACUGCAUACUUUGAGUUA